rnacentral:rRNA from 1 species
UACGGAGGGGGCUAGCGUUCUUCGGAAUUACUGGGCGUAAAGCGCCCGUAGGCGGCUUUGUAAGUCAGAGGUGAAAGCCUGGAGCUCAACUCCAGAACUGCCUUUGAGACUGCAUCGCUUGAAUCCAGGAGAGGUGAGUGGAAUUCCGAGUGUAGAGGUGAAAUUCGUAGAUAUUCGGAAGAACACCAGUGGCGAAGGCGGCUCACUGGACUGGUAUUGACGCUGAGGUGCGAAAGCGUGGGGAGCAAACAGG